ACGCUCGACACCUACGGGAAGCAGCAGUAGGGAAUCUUCCACAAUGGGCGCAAGCCUGAUGGAGCAACACCGCGUGAGUGAAGAAGGGUUUCGGCUCGUAAAGCUCUGUUGUUGGAGAAGAACGUGCGUGAGAGUAACUGUUCACGCAGUGACGGUAUCCAACCAGAAAGUCACGGCUAACUACGUGUCAGCAGCCGCGGUAAUCUGAGCGGGCUGGCAAGGC
rnacentral:rRNA from 1 species